rnacentral:rRNA from 1 species
UACGUAGGGUGCAAGCGUUGUCCGGAAUUAUUGGGCAUAAAGAGCUCGUAGGCGGUUUGUUGCGUCGGCUGUGAAAUCCCGAGGCUCAACCUCGGGUCUGCAGUCGAUACGAGCAAACUAGAGUGUUGCAGGGGAGAACGGAAUUCCUGGUGUAGCGGUGAAAUGCGCAGAUAUCAGGAGGAACACCGGUGGCGAAGGCGGUUCUCUGGGCCUGUACUGACGCUGAGGAGCGAAAGCGUGGGGAGCGAACAGG